rnacentral:miRNA from 1 species
UCACCCCGCCCAUUUUUCUUUUUCUUUAUAUAUAUAUAUAUAUAUAUAUAUAUAUAUAUAUAUAUAUAUAUAUAUAUAUAGAGAGAGAGAGAGAGAGAGAGGGAGA